UACGGAAGGCAGCAGUGGGGAAUAUUGCACAAUGGGCGAAAGCCUGAUGCAGCUAUGCCGCGUGUAUGAAGAAGGCCUUAGGGCUGUAAAGUACUUUCAUCGGGGAGGAAAAACAAAACUAAUAAUUUUAUUUCUUGACGUUACCCGAAAAAGAAGCACCGGCUAACUCCGUGCCAGCAGCCGCGGUAAUACGGAGGGUGCUAGCGUUAAUCAGAAUUACUGGGCGUAAAGAGCACGUAGGUGGUUUUUUUAAGUCAGAUGUGAAAUCCCUGGGCUUAACCUGGAACUGCAUUUUGAAACUGAAAUACUAGAGUAUCGUAGAGGGAGGUAGAAUUCUAGGUGUAGCGGUGAAAUGCGUAGAUAUCUGGAGGAAUACCUGUGGCGAAAGCGGCCUCCUAAACGAAUACUGACACUGAGGUGCGAAAGCGUGGGGAGCAAACAGGGAUUAGAUACC
rnacentral:rRNA from 1 species